CUCACGGGGCCCGGCCCAUUGUGCGCUGGCGGGCUGGCUUCAGCCGCAGCCUUCUCCAGCCCCCGCCCAGCCCCGCCCCACCCCGCGGUGGACGCGGGCCAUUUGGUGGCUCCCUGGGCGCUUUAUGACGGCUCCUCUCCGGACUGGCCUGGGACUCUCUGCCGUGCCCUCUGCGCUUUCUGCUGUCGCUUAGCUUUUCGUAUUUCAGACCCUGCAGGGAUUCUAGAGGCCUGCUCCGCUUGGCUGCUCUGCGACACCCUCUUCUCGAACAAGGGAUCUCUCGCUAACAUCAAAGUAAGAGCCACCUCCUCCAAAGCGGAGACCCACAGAGCUGGCACUCGCUGGGAAUGCACAGGGGCAAACGGCCUGGAAGGGGUGAGAUUGGGCCAGGAUCCGAACGUGCGAGGCGAUGGGGAUGCAGAUAUGAAUCCUGCCUCCAAGAGUGUGCUUGUGGUCAGGGUAUUGGUAGGGCGGGGGGUGGGGGCGGUUGAAAUGAGAAUCUAGAUGGUCUUUGAACUAGUGACAGUCGGCGCAUCUCGCUUUUGCUGAAGUUUUAGCGCUGGAAAAGAAUCCAGUCCUGACUUUAAUGACAUCUGGCAAUAGCGGAAAGUGUAAAUGCAAUGAGAAUGGAUUACACUGGUUAUUUCUCAGGUUUUGUGAUUGCGAUUGUGGUAGUAACGAAUACACCAAACCCUAGUGUGUGUAGGCACAAUUUCAAAGAACCUUAUAGAAUUUUUGCAAUAUAUGUCUAGCACUUUAUUUAUUAUUAAGGUAUCGAUAUACAAUCUUAAGGUUUCACAUAAGCAACAUUGUGGUUACUACAUUCACCCAUAUUAUCAAGUCUCCCCCCAUUGCAGUCACUGUCCAUCAGCAUAGUAAGAUGUCUAGCACUUUUAUAUUUAAGCAUUUUCUGCUACUUUAUCCCACUUCUGGGGUUGACAGAGCAGCAGUAACUCAUUUUUUGCUUUUCUGUCUUGGUUUUCCCAAGUAAUAAAGCCAGUUUACUGUCAUGUAGACCCUGGGCUCAGCCUCUUACUAGCUGUGUGACUUCAAGCAAGUUAGUUAACCUCCUUAACAUCUUGAUUGUACCAUCUGUAAAAGAGGAGGAUGUCACCUACCUCAUAAUUGUAAAAAUUAAAUGAGGAAAUGGUAAAAUUCCUGGUCCACAGUAAUCUGUAUUGAACAUCUAUCCACUAUGUGUUCUGGCAGCAUUAUGGGCAUUUUACAUGUAUAAUUUCCAAAUCUCUUAUAUUAUAGCUGGAAAUACCUAGAGAGGAAGGAACUUGCCCACAGUAACAUAGCUUUGAUCUCAUAGCACAUCGCUAUGAAAACUGUUUCUUCUUACUUACUUUCCAGUUUUAUUGAGACCUUAAUAUUUAUUCUUGAAUGCCCAUACAUUUUUUUAAUUCCAAAUUCUCCCAGUCCAAAGUCACCUCCAGGUGAGAUCCUGGAGUACAUGGAUCCAUGUUGAGAGUUCUCUCUGUCAUCUGCCACAGGGCCCUACAUGAGGGAGAAGUGGUUAAUUUAUCCUUAGUACAGUAAAAGGAGGGAAGACUCCUAGAAGGCCUGUGGCUUGGGCUCUCCUGGCCCCAGGACCUUCCUUGGGUCAUCUCAUCCCUCCAAGUUUAAUCCCCCCUUUCUCUACCCAGUCAGCACCCAAGGCCAGUCCUGGGCCACACUCCAACUAUCUGUCUGUAGGCCUUUCUCCUCUUUGUCUCUGGCACACAGUCUGCCUCCUACCUAAGAUCCAGAGGAUUGAGGCCAACCCUUUCAAGUUCCGUAAACACUGCAAAUGCCUCCUUGGCAGAGUUACAUGUGCCUCUCCUGAGGUGUCUUCAUGAACUUUGAUCCUAAUUCGUUCCUUAAAUUCUUCUCCAGAGUGGAUACCACAGCCUUUACAAGUUCCCUGAGGGUGGGGAGGAUGCAGCCCCUUGAAGGCCCGCUUAGAUGCCACUUUGCCUGAAAGGACUUAGCGUGGUGGAAAAGCACUGACUCCGAGGGAUACUGUGGAGCAGCCCCAUCCACACCAGCACCCCUCCGGCUUGCCCCGGCAGGCCCCCCUCCAGGGAGGGGCCAGGACUGUCACUUUGGAGACCACAGUGUUUGUAACAAUGAUGUGCCCACUGCUGCGGACAAUCCCCAGCCCCAGACCCCCUGCCGGACCAGGAGGCUUCCUCAAGCAUGACCUCCCACAGAGAGGGGUACAGCCCUAGCCUGGCCCUGGGGCCUUCAGCUGGGACACCCUGGACUCCCGGCAGUUUCUGGAGUUUGUUCUGGGAGGUGGGGUGACCCGGCCAAGCCCUUGAGCUGUCUGAGGACCAUUUUGGUAUCGUGGACAUGUCCCUGCCCGCCCUUUCUUCCCCUCCUUCUCCUGUGUCCCCCUCAGACCCAGAGAGUCAUUGUCCUGGGAAAGGGUCACAGGAGGCCCAGCUUCAUGCAGGUACUGAGGAGGGAAGUCCAGCCCUCAGGAGCCAAGUGGGGACCCCCUUCUCUGCAGCCACUUCGAGGCCAAGGCUGUCCCCAGGGCUCUUUGUCCCCAUAUACUGAGCCUCCUUCAAAUAGUGGUACAGGUUCCCUUCAGCCUGUCUGCCCAGCCAUGUUCGAGGUGUUGGGGGACAAGGUUCUUCUUCCCCCACAGCCCCCAACACCAACACACACACAGCUCCAAGCUGCUGGCCACAGAGUGGUCACCAAGGCCAGAAGCCACAGUAUUAGGAAAUUUGGGAGCCCCUCUCCUCACCAAGACCACUGACCUGACUUGGAGCUGGGGUUGGGUGGCCCAGGAAAGCCCAGAGCCAGGGCUUUAGGCAUGUCUUGGCUGGUCAGUAAUAUGGUGACCCCUGGGCUGACUGGGUGUUCCAGAACUGGGCCUCCCACCCGCAGAUGUGCUCGCGAAGCUCUGACAUAGGUAUCCACAGACCCUUGACACAUGCACACUCAGGGGUCAUGUGUGCACACACGGCCACACGGGGAAUGCAUUUGCAGCCAGCCACACUCGGGCGACACCGAAGCUCACACUUGGGUCCCAGGACUGAGCCCCAGGCCUGCCAGGUACACAUGGGCAGCCUAGCUGUGCACAUACCCAGGUAGACGUGGGUGAGUGUUGAGGAAUGUGUGUGCUGUGCACACCCAUCAGAAUGCACAUGUGCCAACAGGCACCCUUUGGUCUCACCAGGCAUCUGCCCAGAGCUUUUUAAGCCCCACCCAUUUCCUGUAGCCAAGAAAAGCCCCCAAGGGUUGUUGGCAGCAAGAAAAAUCUGUCUCUCCCCCUUCCUCUCAAGCCCUCCUGAGUUACUCCAGGCCUGUGUGUAGCAGGAGAGCCAGCACUGGCCCAGCAGCCCCAACCUCUAGAGCUGGAGGGCUGGAAAGUUACUGCCCUGUGCCCAGCACCACCGCAGAGGGCUGGCCUCCACUUGGAGCCUCCCCUGCCAGGGAUGAAGGGGGCAGCCUGAUGCCCCAUCGUGGUGCUCUGACGUGUACCAGGACCAGUAUGCAGUACAUGCCCUGGGGGCAGCCAGUCAGCCUCACCGCCCCCUCCCCUCUCCCCAGUGGCUUUUGGUAGCUCUUGCACGUGGUUUUAUUAACAGCAGUCUAGAAGAGAUGCUUUAGUGGCCUAAUGCAGAGUCAAAUACUACUCUUCCCAGCAAAAUCAGGCAGCUUGCCUGCCCACAGGAGGCACUGAUUCAUCUACUAACAGGCAAAGGCCCACAUCAGGGGCGACUGAGCCCCAGGGUGGGCUUGCAGGGGGCUGUGGCAGGGAAGCUCUAUCCCUGUGAGCAGGUCCGCCUGCCCCGUGUGGGCUCAGCCACGUCCCCAUCCCAAGUCCUCCCGCGCCCUUCCUCUCCCGAAAGUGGAAUUGUUGAAGUGUGGCCAGUCUGUGCUCAAGACAAUAAAGCUUGUGACUGAGGUCCAGGA